rnacentral:rRNA from 1 species
AAACUUUCAACAACGGAUCUCUUGGUUCGGGCAUCGAUGAAGAACGCAGCGAACUGCGAUACGUAAUGUGAAUUGCAGAAAUUCGUGAAUCAUUGAAUCUUUGAACGCACAUUGCGCCCCGGGAGUAUUCUCCUGGGCAUGCCUGCUCGAGCGUCAUUU